rnacentral:misc_RNA from 1 species
CUGCACCAUCUCUAACUCAGACCCAAAGUCCAACGUCUUAGACCGCUCGGCCAUCGGCACUCCUAAACUACUACUAUGGCUACUAGGAUUGGUGAAUUAUCUCAGAAAUGACAUUCCAAUCUAAAUAGAAUUAACAGCUUUUUCAGAGAGUUAAUAAAAAACUACUGUCAAAUGAUAUUAAAAUCACAAGAAAUUCAGACGAAUAAUUUAUUGUGAAUAGAUAUUAAUUCAAUCGAAUUCUUCUAGAGAUGAAGUUGAUUGUUCUGUUUUGCAAUGAGGCAAACCUGUAUCAUUUAGUUUCUCAUUGUUUGAACAACACAAUACAAUCAUGGCAUACAAAAUAAAAAAAACCUUUUUGCAAUUACUUUUGCAUGCAAUAAACUUCACCAUUUCAAGUCUCAAAAGUUUUGCAGUAUUCACAGUUUAUUUGUCAUUUGAAAAAAUAAUAAAAAAAAUUAUAAGUACUUGUCUCGAAAAAAGUGGACGAACUUGGCAACUUAUUGUUGUAAAAUAUAGGUUGAAAUAUGAGUGUCAGUAACGUUUUCCGAAUUAAUUUAGGAUUCGGGAGGUAAUAGUAAUAAUUAUGAUUCUUUAUCUACGAAUAGUAAUAUUUAGCUGACACCAAACAGCUUAUGACACUUUCAUUUGAUACUUCUUGUGAAAGUAGUUGAAAUAUCUGUUUAAUUAAAAAUUUUGUAAAGUAUUAUAUUACAUUUUAUUUGUAUUCUAGGUGGCUCUAAUGUCAAAAUUAGUGAAAAAUGAGUUUUGAGCUUCUCGUCAUCAACUACUUUUAUAACUUCUGACGAACAUGACUACAGAUUUCAGAAGUUAGUUCUGUAACAGCAUUAGAUUUCAGAAGCUGUGAUAAGGCGAAGAUGAUCGUUUUUGUUGAAUCGAUCAAUCAAUAUACUUUCUUGAUCUGUGUGAAAUGGCAGACUCAAAUAUGACAGUAAAUACAUUAGACUGGAAGUAAAUCCAAACGGCCGGAAGUAGAUGUCUUUUGAUCGAAGUAACCCACUCAAUCCUAUAUAUGCAUAUAUUUUCUUCCUUGUGAUACGAAAGCAAAUCCUAAUAUUACUUUGGAGAUAUAAAAUAUUUCAUCCCUUUUUUGGAGUGACUUCCAAGACCUAUGGACAAUUUCGUGCGAAGCUAAGUGUAAUAGCUAGUUAAGAAUUUAAAAACCUAUAUUACGUUUAAUAUGGGUAGAGCAUUUGAGCACGUUCUACAUUAUCUCUCCUUAAUGCAAGUAGUUUGUAAUUUCCUGUAGUUAGACGGAAAAGGAACAGGUUACGUGGCUAUAACGACGAAAUUUUGGGUUAAGAAUGUGGGUUAUUUAAAGACAAGUAUUAUUAGAGAAAUUAAUAUAUUGAAAAAAUUAUUCUUCAAUAAAACUAAACUGUUUCGUUACCUUUUAUGUAAUGUAAUGUAAAUUACACAUUGAGGCGUUGAUAUCAAAGUCUAAUAUUUGAAAAGUAGCACCAGCACUCAUAUGAUCUUGUGAGCUGUCGGUUUGACCUUAUAGGUCAAGGUCAUAGGGUGGGGAGGUUAUAGGUCUGAUAAAAGCGCUUUAUUUAUAAAGACAACAAACACAUCGCUGACAGUCAAUUUAAGACAGAGAUGGCAUUCACAUACUGGGUACUGUUUGCACUGUGUGGUUCAGUUCUUGGAAUACUGCCAGGUAACAACACCACAGGAAUCCCUUGUGAGAAUCAUUAUGACUGUGAACCAGGCAAAGCUUGUAUAGACUUUCAGUGCGAAGAUCCUUGCCUUGGCCUGUGUGGCCUUAACACCAUCUGUCACGUAGUCGGUGAAGUCUCUAUGUGCUCUUGUAAACCGGGUUUUAUUGGCCAACCUUUCAAUGGCUGCUUCCCUGAAGUAUGCACAAUGAACUCGGAUUGUCCAGAGGAGAACAUUUGCAGUGACCACCUGUGUAAGGACGCCUGCAAGGACACUUGUGGACUGAACAGUGUUUGUAAAGCUGUCAAACAUCGUGCAAUCUGUUCCUGCAAUCCAGGAUAUGUCUGGAAACCGUUCUUAGGAUGCCAUGUUGAAAGUAGGAAAAUCGUCAUUCAGAUGAAGUGUACACGAGACUCGGACUGCUCAUUAAACAGCACUUGCAGUAAUGACGAGUGUGUGGAUCCUUGCAUUGGCGUCUGCGGCAACAACACGGUCUGCAACGUUAUGAAUCAUCGUGCCGCUUGCGCUUGCAAGUCAGGAUUCAUUGGCGACCCGUUCCUGGAGUGUGUAGCUCAAAGUAACCUGGUAUACCGCUAUACAGCGAUGCAGAUAUGAGGGAAUGCGUCUUGCUUCCAUUAUGAACGAAUCAGAACAGGCCGAAAUGCGGAAGUCAAUUGCAAGAUCCCCAGGAACAUUAGUUUGGACUUCAGGAAAUGACUUGAGCUCAAAAGGGCACUAUGUAUGGGACGGUUCUGGGAAUAGUUUUGACUAUACCAACUGGGGACAAGGAGAACCAGAGAUCUCAGAUAAGUACAGAUGUAUUGCAA